UAUCUCUGUAGAGUCUGCAUAUCAAUAAGCGGAGGAAAAGAAACUAACUAGGAUUCCCUUAGUAACGGCGAGUGAAGCGGGAAGAGCUCAAAUUUGAAAUCUUCAAGGUUCUACCUUGACGAAUUGUAGUUUAAAGAAGUGUUUUCUGUUGGAGUUUUGGUAAAAGUUCUUUGGAAUAGGACAUCAUAGAGGGUGAGAAUCCCGUAUUUGACCAUUAUUUCCAGCUGUGUGAUACACUUUCAAAGAGUCGGAUUGUUUGGGAAUGCAGUCCAAAAUGGGUGGUAAAUUUCAUCUAAAGCUAAAUACUGGCGAGAGACCGAUAGCGAACAAGUACCGUGAGGGAAAGAUGAAAAGAACUUUGAAAAGAGAGUUAAACAGUACGUGAAAUUGUCAAAAGGGAAGCGUUCGACACCAGUGUUGUUUUCUCGAAAAUCAAUUAAAAAUGGCUGGAUUUUGUGUUGUAUUGACCUUAUAAGCUUUCUGCACUUUUUUCAUGUCUUUUUUAAUGCACUUUUCGUUUAACAAGUCAACAUCAAUUUCUUUUGUUGUAAAAGAGUCAUUGGAAGGUGGCUUUCACUUUCGGUAGAAAGUGUUUAUAGCCUUUGACUCCUGCAAUCGGAGAGACUGAGGUCUGCAGCGUAGAUCCUUUGGAUUAGAUUACAUUUGUGCUAAGUUAUAGCUUUUUAUAGACAACAUGUUGACUAUGAUUUAAUCAUUGUAGCUUACUCGCUUAUGUAUUUUACCUACGCUUAGGAUGUUGAACGCGCACAGAGUCUC
rnacentral:rRNA from 1 species